AAUCGAUGUAGGUUAAGAAUCUCUGUCUUCCCCAGUCUCUUUCUAAGGUCAAGAAUCUCUGUCGUCUUGGCAGCUAAUUAAACUAUGUCCAUGGCAUGGCAUUCCUGAAGAGGAAGAAGAACAAGCAGAAGCUUUCCUUCCAUGCAAGCUGGGGCAUGUGUUAAAUUCCUCCAUCAGUUAUUAUUACUAGGCUCGGUACAGAUAUGCAAGGCAUGUUAUAAUUGCCAUAUAGACAUAUUGUAUCCACACACAUAUAUAUAUAUAUAACUUGCACAAAAUGAAAUGCUGUUCCUCUGAUAACUCCCCGACCAAACAAAUGGGCUUCUCCUCCGUCUUCCUAUGGCUCCUCCUCAUCUUCUUCUUCUGUUUUCCUAAUGUCAUGACAGUGCAGGCAUUCACGGGGACUUAUGGAGUGAACUACGGGCGCAUCGCCGACAACAUCCCACCCCCUUCGAACGUAGUGACACUCCUCAAGGCAGCGAAGAUCAAGAACAUCAGGAUAUAUGACGCCGACCACAGCGUCCUGACAGCCUUUAAGGGCUCGGGGAUUGAGAUAGUCAUCGGGGUCGGGAAUGAGUUCCUCAAGGACAUGAGCGUGGGUGAGGACGGGGCCAUGAACUGGAUCAAAGAGAAUGUGGAGCCCUUUCUCCCCGGAACGCAGAUUCGGGGGAUAGCUGUCGGGAAUGAAAUACUUGGAAGCACGGACGUCGAGCUCUGGGAGGCCCUACUCCCAGCUGCCAAGAACAUCUACAGUGCCCUCGACCGCCUUGAUCUGACCGACAAAAUUCAGGUUCAAACUGCGCACUCAGAGGCCGUGUUUGGGAGCUCAUACCCACCAUCGGCAGGGGCUUUUCGGGAAGAUGUGCUACCAUACAUGAAGCCGCUCUUGCAGUUCUUCUCGCAGAUUGGAUCGCCGUUUUACAUCAAUGCAUACCCGUUCCUCGCCUACAAGAGCGACCCUAGCCAUAUUGACAUCAAUUAUGCGCUCUUCCGAUCAAAUUCCGGGACGUACGAUGCUAAAACUAAUCUACAUUACGACAACAUGUUUGACGCCAUGGUGGACGCGGCUUACGCUGCCCUGGAGAAGGCUGGCUUUGCAAAGAUGGAGGUCAUUGUCUCGGAGACAGGCUGGGCCUCGAAGGGUGACCCUGAUGAGGCAGGGGCCACUGUGAAGAAUGCCAGGACGUAUAACUAUAAUCUACGGAAACGAUUACUGAAGAAGAAGGGGACCCCUUACCGGCCCAAGAUCUCCGCGAAGGCAUACGUGUUUGCGCUGUUCAACGAGAACCUGAAGCCGGGUCCCACGUCGGAGAGGAACUUCGGGCUGUUUAAGGCUGAUGGAAGCAUUUCGUAUAAUAUCGGGUUUACUGGCUUAGUGUCUUCUUCGCCAUCAUUGCCUCCUCUCUCCCUCCGGGUCCUGACAAUGACAAUCUGUGUUGCUGUUCUUCUCUUGAAAUUAAUCUGACCAGCAGAGGAAGUGUUUCAAAGCUCAGCUCUCUCUGGUCCCGUGAGAUCAUGCUGGGGCAGCUCCAAACACUCGAUAAUUGACUGUCAUCUUGACAUGCUAAUUCAAGCAAAGACCACAGGAUAAGCUUGUAAUGUUCAUAUAUUUCAUUGCGUCGGUUCGAUGAAUAGGCUGACGUAACAGCAAAGGAAGAGGAUGAAUAAAAUAUAUAACACAAUAUAUUAUA